rnacentral:rRNA from 1 species
CGACAAGUAGCGAAGAGUGCCGAGCCGCUGUCGAGAAAAGCCGCUAUUGUUUUGUGGGAACCCGUACCGUAAACCGACACAGGUGGAUGAGGAGAGAAACCUAAGGCCGGCGGGAGAAGCAUUGUUAAGGAACUCGGCAAAAUGACCCCGUAACUUCGGGAGAAGGGGUGCCUACAAGAUUACUUGUAGGCCGCAGAGAACUGGCCCAAGCAACUGUUUAACAAAAACACAGGUUUAUGCAAAACCGAAAGGUGAAGUAUAUGAGCUGACGCCUGCCCGGUGCUGGAAGGUUACGAGGAGAUGUUAGAGCAAUCGAAGCAUUGAAUUUAAGCCCCAGUAAACGGCGGCCGUAACAAUAACGGUCCUAAGGUAGCGAAAUUCCUUGUCGGGUAAGUUCCGACCCGCACGAAAGGCGUAAUGAUUUGGGCACUGUCUCGACAAUGCACCCGGUGAAAUUGAAAUACCAGUGAAGAUGCUGGUUACCCGCGCCAGGACGGAAAGACCCCAUGGAGCUUUACUCCAGUUUGAUACUGGGAUUCGGUACUGCAUGCACAGGAUAGGUGGGAGACUAAGAAGCGAGGACUCCGGUUUUCGCAGAGUCGCUGUUGGGAUACCACCCCUGUGGUGCUGGAUUUCUAACCUGCGCCCGUGAUCCGGGCGGGGGACAUGUCAGGCGGGGAGUUUGACUGGGGCGGUCGCCUCCGAAAGGGUAUCGGAGGCGCUCAAAGGUUCCCUCAGAAUGGUUGGAAACCAUUCGAAGGGUGUAAAGGCAGAAGGGAGCUUGACUGUGACACCGACGGGUGGAACAGGUACGAAAGUAGGACUUAGUGAUCCGGUGGCAUAAAGUGGGAUUGCCAUCGCUCAACGGAUAAAAGCUACCCUGGGGAUAACAGGCUUAUCACUCCCAAGAGUUCACAUCGACGGAGUGGUUUGGCACCUCGAUGUCGGCUCAUCGCAUCCUGGGGCUGUAGCAGGUCCCAAGGGUUGGGCUGUUCGCCCAUUAAAGCGGUACGCGAGCUGGGUUCAGAACGUCGUGAGACAGUUCGGUCCCUAUCCGGCGUGGGCGGAGGAUAUUUGAGAGGAGCUGUCCUUAGUACGAGAGGACCGGGAUGGACGAACCUCUGGUGUAUCUGUUGGGCCGCCAGGCCCAUGGCAGAGUAGCCAAGUUUGGACGGGAUAAACGCUGAAGGCAUCUAAGCGUGAAGCCCCCCUCAAGAUGAGAUAUCCCUGCUUAGGCAGUAAGACCCCUUAUAGACGAUAAGGUAGAUAGGUUGGAGGUGGAAGAGCGGCAACGCUUGCAGCUGACCAAUACUAAUAGGUCGAGGGCUUGACC